rnacentral:rRNA from 1 species
CCUACGGGUGGCAGCAGUGAGGAAUAUUGGUCAAUGGCCGGAAGGCUGAACCAGCCAAGUCGCGUGAGGGACGACUGCCCUAUGGGUUGUAAACCUCUUUUAUACGGGAAGAAUACAUGCUACGUGUAGCAUGAUGCCUGUACCUUACGAAUAAGCAUCGGCUAACUCCGUGCCAGUAGCCGCGGUAAUACGGAGGAUGCGAGCGUUAUCCGGAUUUAUUGGGUUUAAAGGGUGCGUAGGCGGUUUGAUAAGUUAGUGGUUAAAUGUCGGGGCUCAACCCCGAAAAUGCCUUUAAGCAGGGUGGAAUAGAGAAGAGGUGAGGUAGGCGGAAUGUAUGGUGGAGCGGUGAAAUGCUGAGAGAGCAUACAGAACACCGAGUGCGAAGGAAGCUUACCAAACUAUAUCUGACGUGGAGGCACGAAAGCGUGGGUAGCAAACAGGAUUAGAUACCCGUGUAGUC